rnacentral:rRNA from 1 species
GUCUAUGGCUAUACCAGCCUGAACACGCCUGAUCUCCUCUGAUCUCAGAAGCUAAGCAGGCUCGGGCCUGGUUAGUACUUGGAUAGGAGAGUAAUGACAAGGAGAAAUGUCUUUACAGACA